GGUGGCAAUAGCAAAGAGGUCACACCUGUUCCCAUGCCGAACACAGAAGUUAAGCUCUUUAGCGCCGAUGGUAGUCGGACUAACGUUCCGCUAGAGUAGGACGUUGCCAGGC
rnacentral:rRNA from 2 species